rnacentral:rRNA from 1 species
AGUGAACGCUGGCGGUAGGCCUAACACAUGCGAGUCGAACGGCAGCACAGUAAGAGCUUGCUCUUACGGGUGGCGAGUGGCGGACGGGUGAGGAAUACAUCGGAAUCUACUUUUUCGUGGGGGAUAACGUAGGGAAACUUACGCUAAUACCGCAUACGACCUACGGGUGAAAGCAGGGGAUCUUCGGACCUUGCGCGAUUGAAUGAGCCGAUGUCGGAUUAGCUAGUUGGCGGGGUAAAGGCCCACCAAGGCGACGAUCCGUAGCUGGUCUGAGAGGAUGAUCACCCAACCUGGAACUAGGAACCGGUCCAGACCCCUACGGGGGGCAGAAGGGGGGAAUUUUGGACAAGGGGCGCAACCCUGAUCCAGCCAUACCGGGGGGGUGAAGAAGGCCUUCGGGUUUUAAAGCCCUUUUUUUGGGAAAGAAAAGCAGCAGGUUAAAACCCCGCUUUUCUGACGGUACCAAAAAAAUAAGCCCCGGCUAACUUCGG